rnacentral:rRNA from 1 species
CGCCCUUAGAGUUUGAUCAUGGCUCAGGACGAACGCUGGCGGCGUGCCUAAUACAUGCAAGUUGAGCGUUGGUACUUGUACCAAGAGCAGCGAACGGGUGAGUAACGCGUGGGGAAUCUGCCUUUGAGCGGGGGACAACAUUUGGAAACGAAUGCUAAUACCGCAUAAAAACUUAACACAAGUUUAAGUUGAAAGAUGAUUGCAUCACUCAAAGAUGAUCCCGCGUUGUAUUAGCUAGUUGGUGAGGUAAAGGCUCACCAAGGCGAUGAUACAUAGCCGACCUGAGAGGGUGAUCGGCCACAUUGGGACUGAGACACGGCCCAAACUCCUACGGGAGGCAGCAGUAGGGAAUCUUCGGCAAUGGACGAAAGUCUGACCGAGCAACGCCGCGUGAGUGAAGAAGGUUUUCGGAUCGUAAAACUCUGUUGGUAGAGAAGAACGUUGGUGAGGAAACUCAUCAAGUGACGGUAACUACCCAGAAAGGGACGGCUAACUACGUGCCAGCAGCCGCGGUAAUACGUAGGUCCCGAGCGUUGUCCGGAUUUAUUGGGCGUAAAGCGAGCGCAGUGGUUUAUUAAGUCUGGUGUAAAAGGCAGUGGCUCAACCAUUGUAUGCAUUGGAAACUGGUAGACUUGAGUGCAGAGAGGAGAGUGGAAUUCCAUGUGUAGCGGUGAAAUGCGUAGAUAUAUGGAG